rnacentral:misc_RNA from 1 species
AAUGUUGCAAGCAGCUUCUGAAUGGUAUAGAAUUUAUGAAUUGCUCCUUGCCUCUUUGCUUGAAUGAAAUUUUUAGAUUUUUAAUUGAGAGAACUAUAGUUAAAGCUGAAGAAUGGUAGGAAAAUGUUGGAUUUAGUGGCCUCUGAUUUGUCAUGAUGAAAAUUGGUGUGCAGCCUCAUUAGCUUCCUGCCUUGAAAUUGGCUGUAAUUCAUGAAAUUCUACCAUGGGGUUGGGUUCUAUUUUUCCAUGUGGAGUUCCUUUCUUCUAUGUUAUUGCUACACUUCCUACAUGUUUGGAUGAGCCAAUCCUCUAGUAGUUAGUUAUGAAGACUCUGCUUUAGUUCCUGUAUCCUUAUGCAUUAUGAUAUUUGUGCCUUGAUCGAUUUAGCUAAUUGCUUUGUUGGAAUUCAUGGCAACUUAGGAGGGUUGGAGCAAUUUGUUUUCUAUCUUGUCAAACAUGUAUUAUAGUGAAUAUGUCACCUAGAUAUUUAAAACACUUGCAUUCAAAAGUUUUUCAAGUGCCACUAUUAUAUCACUCUGAAGUGAACAAUAAUUUGAUAGACGUGCUCUUUGAUUUUUUAUGAGAUCAUGAGGCCUGAAGCCUCUUUUCAGCCAUGAAUUGCUUACAUGAUAUUAUUUUUACAGCCUCGCAUCUUACAUGACAGAUG